CAUCAGGAUGUGAUGGCUGGAAUUGUUGCUGCUGUCUUAGCACCAUGAGGGGAGCCAACCUGAAGGCAGUGCUGAUUUACUGAGGAUGCUCUGUGGAGGGAGCUGGAGGCCUUCGUCUGACGCACUUGGAAAAGCUGCCCUAGCAACCAGGAUUUCCACACCUUUGCCCUCAAAAUGCCUUUGAAUGGUCUUUCAAAAGUUCUGCUUUCUGAGAUGAGGAGCCAGGAUUCUGGCUUAAGAAUUCUAGCCAAAGAGAUUCCAAACAGACAGUAACAUCAAUGCAGACAAGUUGAAGAAAAAUCAGUCACAUCAGCAAAGACUUGAAUGGAGUUACUCAAGGCACAUCAAUCAAUGGAGCCAGAGGGACAAGACUGGCAGCUUCUUGGCUGACCUUGAAAUGCUUCUUGGGUGGUUUUGGCAACACAUGCACCCGAAGUCUACUCCAAAGUGAA